GCCCGGUUAGCUCAAUCGGUAGAGCGUGAGACUCUUAAGACUGCGGUCAAUCUCAAGGUUGCGGGUUCGACCCCCGCAUCGGGCU
rfam:Magnaporthe poae ATCC 64411 unplaced genomic scaffold supercont1.4, whole genome shotgun sequence.